UACGUAGGGUGCAAGCGUUAAUCGGAAUUACUGGGCGUAAAGCGUGCGCAGGCGGUUGUGGAAGUCAGAUGUGAAAUCCCCGGGCUUAACCUGGGAACUGCGUUUGAAACUACAAGGCUAGAGUGUGGCAGAGGGGGGUGGAAUUCCACGUGUAGCAGUGAAAUGCGUAGAGAUGUGGAGGAACACCGAUGGCGAAGGCAGCCCCCUGGGUUAACACUGACGCUCAGGCACGAAAGCGUGGGGAGCAAACAGG
rnacentral:rRNA from 1 species